UCUCCCGAAGUCCAAAGAGACAGUGUGAAACCAUAGAUAGAAUUUCCGAAGAAGUAUUUUUGACAGCUAUUCGCUGCAUCUUCCAUCAUUUCCAGAAUUCAACACUCAAACAACUCUGUAUAGCACGAGGAGUGCCAAGCCCAUUUACCUCUGCUGUCAAUGUACUACAAAACACAGCAGAAAAAAUGACAAACCAUGGUUGGCGCUUGACAUUGCCUAGGGAAGAGGAAAACCAGAGCAGAGCAGGCUGAAGUUCAGAAGAGUCAGCAUUACCAAGCAUGGAUAAUUCUUAAUGAAGGAGGGAAAUCAGUAGGAACAGUGCCAGGGGACAAAAAUAAUCGGGAUUCCCUGCCUGACCCUCUCAGCGAUGACCACACUAAAACAACGUUUCUGUGAACACUGUUCAAACUGAUCCCUCUCAGAAAACUGAACUAUGAAAUCUUGCCACUCCCACACAUCCAGCACUGUCACCUGCCUGACUUUUCAGGGAGGAACCUGACAGAAAACCAGCCACUCCAGAGUGGAUCAGGGGUGUUUCUAUGGGAAGGGCAUGGCUGGUGCCUCCUCUGCUGCUGAAGAUCUUAUGAAAAUCAAGAAGCUACUCUACUGAGUGAGGUUCCAGAAAACUCCAGUGAGCAAAUCAAGCACAACUUUGGACACAGUCACCAGAGGAGUUGUGGAAGCCCUUUACCCACCUGACCCUGUCCGAUACAAGGCUGACUGAGAUCCCUGGUGGAGCUCAAUUGUUCCGUGAUUUGGACUGCGGUACACGGGACUGUAGUAAGUUCUGCCUUCGUAGAUGGGAGUGAUGUGCAAGUCAGGAGAUACAGCUGAUCGUAACUCUUGUCCUAGCUGGCUGUGUUGACUAGCAUAUGAACUCCUCAGGCCUGAAACCAAGAAGAGGAAGAUACGU